GGACAGAGAGACAGGAGAUGGUCCUUUAUAAUGCAGUGUGAUCUGUGCUGCAAUAGAGAUGGAAGAGUGUUCUGAUCGGCUGGAAAACAACGCACAUGGGAAGCUGUACAGAAAUGAGUGGGGAAAGUUUUGGAAGCUAGAAGUUCAAAACGAGGUGUUGGCAGCACCAUGCUCUCUCUGAAGAUGCUAGGAAGAAUCUGCUCCAUGCCUUUCCAUUCGCUUCUGGGGUUUCCUGCAAGCCCUGACAUUCCUUGGCUUGUGGAUGCAUCACCCCAGUUUCCGUCCCCAUCAUCACAUGGCCUCCUCUCUGUGUGUGCCUCUGCGUUCCCUCUAUUCUUCUUCUAAGGACACCAACACCAGUCAUAGUGGAUUAAGGGUCCACUCCUAACUAAUUACAUCUGCAACAACCCUAUUUCCAAAUAAAGUCACAUUCUAAGAUUCCUAGGGAGAACAUGAAUUUUUGGGGGUGUGUGGAUACUGUUCAACCUGGGACAUGGAGUAAAUAAAUGGCAAGGAAGAUUACAGAUGACUUUAAGCUAAAGAGGGAGAUAGGGUUAAAUGUAGGACUUUUUUUUUUUUUCCAGGACGGGAGAGGUUUAAACAUGUUACUACAUUGAA
rnacentral:lncRNA from 1 species